rnacentral:tRNA from 1 species
UGAUUUUUCGACUCUAUAUCAUCGGUCUCGAAAACCGGAGUAGGGGCAACUCUACCGGGGGUUCAAAUCCCCCUCUCUCCGCCA